rnacentral:rRNA from 1 species
UAGGGAAUCUUCCACAAUGGACGCAAGUCUGAUGGAGCAACGCCGCGUGAGUGAAGAAGGUUUCGGACCGUAAAGCUCUGUUGUUGGUGAAGAAGGAUAGAGGUAGUAACUGGCCUUUAUUUGACGGUAAUCAACCAGAAAGUCACGGCUAACUACGUGCCAGCAGCCGCGGUAAUACGUAGGUGGCAAGCGUUGUCCGGAUUUAUUGGGCGUAAAGCGAGCGCAGGCGGAAGAAUAAGUCUGAUGUGAAAGCCCUCGGCUUAACCGAGGAAUUGCAUCGGAAACUGUUUU